GUGCUGGGAGGUUGCGGUGCAGGGUGGCGCUGAGACGCAGGCCUUUCCUGGCGCGAAGCGACUCGCCCCGGAGCUCCCCUGCACCGUCCUGGGUGUCAGGACGCGUCAACCCAGAUGACCCGACCCGGAGAUCCUGGAUCCUCUGCCCUCUUCCCCCUACCAAGUCCUUAACCGGAGAGGGAGGAGCUACCAAUGUCCUCCAGACGUUCUCCAAAGCCCGAGCUGCCGGGAGAAGCUUGCUCAAGGCGGGUGCGCCCCUCAGACGUUUGUUUGCACGCAGGGGUUUUGACGUUUCGCUAAGCAACAGCGUUUGCCAGGGAAUCAGGGCUGUUUCGAAGAGCUUGCGUCUAUUUGAUGCUCCCAUCUUGAACAAAUCGUUUCCAUUCGAUUUGUUUAACCAAGGCGAGGGCGGACUAUGUUGUUACUUAAAAGUUAUUCUUCAUCCAAGCUGUCCUCAGAUUUUCAUCUAAGGGUGUCAUAACACCCCAGGUCGUUGCGCAAAUGUUUUGUGACAAUUUAGAAAACCAGAGGGGGGAAAUAUCCUUAGAGAAAAAAUCAUAACCAACAAGAAAAUUAUGUUAAAUGAUGUUGGUCCUUUUUCAUCGGAUGGUCCCAGUUGACACAUAGUCUUUUACAAAACCAGUGACUAUUCACAGUCUUCAAUUUAUGGCACAUCUCCCGGUGGGGGCGAAGUGCAUGAAUGGGUCCCACCUUAUUCACCAGCUGAAACUCUGAACAAGCCUUGGGGUUUCCUCUCCCAAAGACUGCCAGGCUUCACUAAGAAUCAAAACAAAACAGGAUACUAAAUGCCUGCGGUUCCUUUUUCCAUAAUUUUUUUCUUUUAACCAGCCUUUCACCUCACCCAAAGGCCACAAUGAAGUCGAAGAAACCUGUAGAUGAC
rnacentral:lncRNA from 1 species